rnacentral:rRNA from 1 species
GAUGAACGCUGGCGGCGUGCCUAAUACAUGCAAGUCGAGCAAACAGAUGAGGAGCUUGCUCCUCUGACGUUAGCGGCGGACGUGUGAGUAACACGUGGAUAACCUACCUAUAAGACUGGGAUAACUUCGGGAAACCGGAGCUAAUACCGGAUAAUAUAUUGAACCGCAUGGUUCAGUAGUGAAAGACGGUUUUGCUGUCACUUAUAGAUGGAUCCGCGCCGCAUUAGCUAGUUGGUAAGGUAACGGCUUACCAAGGCAACGAUGCGUAGCCGACCUGAGAGGGUGAUCGGCCACACUGGAACUGAGACACGGUCCAGACUCCUACGGGAGGCAGCAGUAGGGAAUCUUCCGCAAUGGGCGAAAGCCUGACGGAGCAACGCCGCGUGAGUGAUGAAGGUCUUCGGAUCGUAAAACUCUGUUAUUAGGGAAGAACAAAUGUGUAAGUAACUAUGCACGUCUUGACGGUACCUAAUCAGAAAGCCACGGCUAACUACGUG